ACAACUAACAUGCUAAGAACACAGAGUCGAGGCUCAUUGAUGGCAUUUAGCAUAUGGAGACCUAAGCCAGUCCUUCUAGACACGGACUGGCCGUGAAGAAACAGAAGACUCCCUCCACAGUAGUCCGGAGGAGAAUUGCAGACUUUUCUCUCUUGUGCCAGGGACAACCAUGCCUAAAGAGUCAACACUAGCCUCUUCGUUUUUUGAAUACUAAGGUUCAGAGACGUAUUGGUCCCAGGUGCCACUCUCCUCCUUGGCAUAAUUAGUUUAGCCUAAACUUCUUGCCAAGAAACAUGUCCCACAGGAGAAGACUCAGCAAACAUAAGCACAGAGGUCAUUAGCUUUUCGUAAAUACUGUACUUACCUAGUAACCACCAUGCAAAGGCCUGGAAUCCAUCCUUGUCACUCAAGCCGGUCUGGACAGUCUAGGAAAUAAGAAAACACACCGUGCACAGGGACCAGAACUACAACGACGAGUGUUUCUGCUCUCCACCUCCUCCCGUUCUCCUCUGAGCUGCGUCCUUGUGUUACACACGCUCUCUAAUCCCUUUCAUUACUCACAGGUGCCUAAUAAUCGGCCCAAUGACAAGCAGUGAAGAGAAAUGAUUUAAAGCUGAUUCUUACCACCUGCUUUGCUGACAUGAAAGUGCAAAUAAAUAUCCCUGCAGACACCAGGGCAAUGGAGGUAUACUUGAACAUACUGUAUCUGAAAAAAUAAGGACAAGACACCUUAGGAAAGGAAACAACAUCUAAUGGGAUCUACCACCGGGAAGUAUGCAAUUCAAGUACAAAGCUCUUUAGUAUCACUGGGGGAUACUCUCCAGUAGUUGUCUUUAACAGUUGUUGACCAGCAGACUGUUUUAUCAGAAAAUGAAAAAGAAAACAAAACCAGAAAACAGACACACACCCAAUGUCACAUGACGCUGCAUUCUGCUCUGCAAAAACCAAUAAUUCAACCCGCCCAGGCUUCACCAGUAUCUGUGCCUUUCCAGGCCUAAAAGCCCAGAAUUGAGUCUUCAUACACACACUAUUCAAGAGGAACAAGAGAUUAUCAGACACAAGAGUCAAAACUUGGGGAAUAAUGUCCAUUCUCCAGGAAAGUUUGCAGAGCACUGAAGAUCCAGUGAUAAUAAGAGCUGUUUGGCUCCACAAGAAGCCACAGUGAGAGUCUCCGACCUGGUCAGUUGCCUUCGGAAAGUCAUGAUUACCCAUGAUUCUUAGAGAAAGAAAACAGGAAAAGGCUGAUGGCCAAGAAGAGUCCUAUCACCAGCGUGGGAAGAGGGAAGGUCUCUGUCUGCCUUACGUUGCAGAUGAAAGCCAUCCAUCCUUCACACACUGUGGGCAGGCAGCACUUACUGAUCUGAAUAUCAUAUGCAGCGGCAUGGCGAUGUUCAGGUUCAGGGCAUAGUUGUUCACCACGCUGACAGUGAAGAACAUGGUUACCAUGAUGGCAUAGUACCUGCAAUGACAGAGAACAUCGUGCAAAUCCACUUUUACAAGAAACUCUGAUAUAGAAGGAAAUACAUGUAUUCGCUUUACAAGACACUUGGAGUACAUUAUCACAUAAAGCCAAAAAUGAGGUGCGUGAUGCCUUCCUACGAUCCGACAUUCAACACUCCUUUAAGCUAACUCGGAGAGCAUCUUAGGGACACACUGCUGGCACGGCUCAAGGAAAAGGGUUCUGUUAGCUGGAAUAAAUCGCUUUAAAGCGAAUAAAUAAAGUUCUAAUAAAUAAAAACUUG
ensembl:antisense Gm13856 predicted gene 13856